GCGCCCGUAGCUCAGCUGGAUAGAGUACCUGGCUUCGAACCAGGUGGUCGGGAGUUCGAAUCUCUCCGGGCGCGCCA
rnacentral:tRNA from 15 species